UACGGGAGGUAGUAGUGGGGAAUAUUGGACAAUGGGCGCAAGGGUGAUCCAGCCAUGGCGCGUGAGUGAUGAAGGUCGUAGGGUUGUAAAGCUCUUUCUCCGGAGAAGAUAAUGACGGUAUCCGGAGAAGAAGGCCCGGCUAACUUCGUGCCAGCAGCCGCGGUAAUACGAAGGGGGCUAGCGUUGUUCGGAAUUACUGGGCGUAAAGCGCACGUAGGCGGACAUUUAAGUCAGUGGUGAUAUCCCAGAGCUCAAAGCGGGAACGGACUGAGAUAAAAGGUGACUGGAGUAUGGAAGAGGAAAGAGGAAUUCCGAGAGAAGAG
rnacentral:rRNA from 1 species